GUUUCUGAGUGAGGGAGAGAGGAGUCAUCAUCCAGGUAAAGUGACGUAGAUCAGUGGACACACUUGUCUCCCCUUUAAAGGAGACAAUCCAAGUCAUCCUUAAAUAUGGGCAGGAUAUCAGUCUUGGACUGUCUAACCUGCCGGAGCAGCACUGAAUGACCACCACACAUGAGCAUGUUCCUGCAACAUUCAGCAGCUUUGUUCAUCUGUGUGCUUCUGCUUUUGUGUCAAAUGUCAAACAGCUGGAGAGGAAACUACACCAGUGUACUGGGAUGUUUCACCAAUACGUGCCAGAUGCUUUUCCUUCAUGGUGACAUCACCAGAGACAGCCCCACCCACCUCAGGACCUCGCCAUUGAUCAUGAUCA